UACGUAGGGUGCGAGCGUUAAUCGGAAUUACUGGGCGUAAAGCGUGCGCAGGCGGUGAUGUAAGACAGGUGUGAAAUCCCGGGGCUCAACCUCGGAACUGCAUUUGUGACUGCAUCGCUGGAGUGCGGCAGAGGGGGAUGGAAUUCCUGGUGGAGCAGUGAAAUGCGUAGAUAUCAGGAGGAACACCAACGGCGAAGGCAGCUAGCUGGACGAGAUCCGACGCUCAGGCUCGAAAGUAUGGGGAGCAAAAAGG
rnacentral:rRNA from 1 species